GCAGUCGAGCGGACAGAUGGGAGCUUGCUCCCUGAUGUUAGCGGCGGACGGGUGAGUAACACGUGGGUAACCUGCCUGUAAGACUGGGAUAACUCCGGGAAACCGGGGCUAAUACCGGAUGGUUGUUUGAACCGCAUGGUUCAAACAUAAAAGGUGGCUUCGGCUACCACUUACAGAUGGACCCGCGGCGCAUUAGCUAGUUGGUGAGGUAACGGCUCACCAAGGCAACGAUGCGUAGCCGACCUGAGAGGGUGAUCGGCCACACUGGGACUGAGACACGGCCCAGACUCCUACGGGAGGCAGCAGUAGGGAAUCUUCCGCAAUGGACGAAAGUCUGACGGAGCAACGCCGCGUGAGUGAUGAAGGUUUUCGGAUCGUAAAGCUCUGUUGUUAGGGAAGAACAAGUACCGUUCGAAUAGGGCGGUACCUUGACGGUACCUAACCAGAAAGCCACGGCUAACUACGUGCCAGCAGCCGCGGUAAUACGUAGGUGGCAAGCGUUGUCCGGAAUUAUUGGGCGUAAAGGGCUCGCAGGCGGUUUCUUAAGUCUGAUGUGAAAGCCCCCGGCUCAACCGGGGAGGGUCAUUGGAAACUGGGGAACUUGAGUGCAGAAGAGGAGAGUGGAAUUCCACGUGUAGCGGUGAAAUGCGUAGAGAUGUGGAGGAACACCAGUGGCGAAGGCGACUCUCUGGUCUGUAACUGACGCUGAGGAGCGAAAGCGUGGGGAGCGAACAGGAUUAGAUACCCUGGUAGUCCACGCCGUAAACGAUGAGUGCUAAGUGUUAGGGGGUUUCCGCCCCUUAGUGCUGCAGCUAACGCAUUAAGCACUCCGCCUGGGGAGUACGGUCGCAAGACUGAAACUC
rnacentral:rRNA from 1 species